rnacentral:rRNA from 1 species
GGUUUCUUGAAUAUAAAAUAGGAGAUUUAACCUGCCCAUUGAAAUAAAUUUUAAAAGGCCGCAGUAAUUUGACUGUGCAAAGGUAGCAUAAUCAUUAGUCUUUUAAUUAAGGACUGGAAUGAAUGGUUGAAUGAAGUGAUUUCUGUCUUAUAUUUAAUAAGGUUGAAUUUAGUAUUUGAAUAAAAAGAUUCAAGUAUUAUUAAGGGACGAGAAGACCCUAUAGAAUUUAAUAAAUUUAAUAUUUAAUUAAGUUAAGAAUAAUAUUUAUAAUUAUUAUAAGUUUUAUUAGGUUGGGGUGAUUAGAAAAUAAAAUUAACUUUUCUUUAGGUUAAAUAAUAUAAUUAAUUAUAUGAUCCAUAAAUUUGUGAUUAUAAGAUAAAAUUACCUUAGGGAUAACAGCAUAAUUUUUUUUGAGAGUUCAUAUUGAAAAAGAAGAUUAUGACCUCGAUGUUGGAUUAAGAUUAAUUUUAGGUGAAGAAGUUUAUAAAAUUAGGUCUGUUCGACCUUUAAAAUCUUACA